GAAUCAUUGGCAAUGUGCGCAAGCAUGACCAUGCCACGCCGCGUGGACGAUGAAGGCCUUCGGGUUGUAAAGUCCUGUCCGGGGUGAGGAAACGCACGGGUUCACUCGUGCCUGACGUUAGCCCCAGAGGAAGUCACGGCUAACUUCGUUCCAGCCGCCGCGGUAAGACGAGGGUGGCAAACGCUGCUCGGAAUCACUGGGCUUAAAGGGCGUGUAGGCGGCCAGGCAAGUCGGAUGUGAAAUCCCUCGGCUCAACCGAGGAACUGCACCCGAUACUGCCCGGCUGGAGUGCGGGAGGGGUGAGUGGAACUCCAGGUGUAGCGGUGAAAUGCGUAGAUAUCUGGAGGAACGCCGGUGGCGAAAGCGACUCACUGGCCCGUAACUGACGCUGAGGCGCGAAAGCUAGGGGAGCAAACGGGA
rnacentral:rRNA from 1 species